UGGGGAAUAUUGGACAAUGGGCGAAAGCCUGAUCCAGCCAUGCCGCGUGUGUGAAGAAGGUCUUCGGAUUGUAAAGCACUUUAAGUUGGGAGGAAGGGCAGUAAGCGAAUACCUUGCUGUUUUGACGUUACCGACAGAAUAAGCACCGUCUAACUCUGUGCCAGCAGCCGCGGUAAUACAGAGGGUGCAAGCGUUAAUCGGAAUUACUGGGCGUAAAGCGCGCGUAGGUGGUUCGUUAAGUUGAAUGUGAAAGCCCCGGGCUCAACCUGGGAACUGCAUCCAAAACUGGCGAGCUAGAGUAGGGCAGAGGGUGGUAGAAUUUCCUGUGUAGCGGUGAAAUGCGUAGAUAUAGGAAGGAACACCAGUGGCGAAGGCGACCACCUGGGCUCAUACUGACACUGAGGUGCGAAAGCGUGGGGAGCAAACAGG
rnacentral:rRNA from 1 species